GAUGAACGCUGGCGGCGUGCCUAAUACAUGCAAGUCGAGCGAACAGACGAGGAGCUUGCUCCUCUGACGUUAGCGGCGGACGGGUGAGUAACACGUGGAUAACCUACCUAUAAGACUGGGAUAACUUCGGGAAACCGGAGCUAAUACCGGAUAAUAUAUUGAACCGCAUGGUUCAAUAGUGAAAGACGGUUUUGCUGUCACUUAUAGAUGGAUCCGCGCCGCAUUAGCUAGUUGGUAAGGUAACGGCUUACCAAGGCAACGAUGCGUAGCCGACCUGAGAGGGUAAUCGGCCCAACUGGACCUGAGACCCGGCCCAGCCUCCUACGGGAGGCAGCAGUAGGGAUUCUUCGGCAAUGGGCGAAAGCCUGACGGAGCAACGCGGCGUGAGUGAUGAAGGUCUUCGGAUCGUAAAACUCUGUUAUUAGGGAAAAACAAAUGUGUAAGUAACUAUGCACGUCUUGACGGUACCUAAUCAGAAAGCCACGGCUAACUACGUG
rnacentral:rRNA from 1 species